CUACGGUGAAUACGUUCCCGGACCUUGUACACACCGCCCGUCAAGCCAUGGAAGCUGGGUGUACCUAAAGUCGAUAACCGUAAGGAGUCGCCUAGGGUAAAACUAGUAACUGGGCGU
rnacentral:rRNA from 1 species